rnacentral:rRNA from 1 species
AGUCGAGCGGUAACAGAUAGAAGCUUGCUUUCUUUGCUGACGAGCGGCGGACGGGUGAGUAAUGCCUAGGGAACUGCCCAGUCGAGGGGGAUAACAGUUGGAAACGACUGCUAAUACCGCAUACGCCCUACGGGGGAAAGGAGGGGCUCUUCGGACCUUUCGCGAUUGGAUGUACCUAGGUGGGAUUAGCUUGUUGGUGAGGUAAGAGCUCACCAAGGCGACGAUCCCUAGCUGUUCUGAGAGGAUGAUCAGCCACACUGGGACUGAGACACGGCCCAGACUCCUACGGGAGGCAGCAGUGGGGAAUAUUGCACAAUGGGCGAAAGCCUGAUGCAGCCAUGCCGCGUGUGUGAAGAAGGCCUUCGGGUUGUAAAGCACUUUCAGCGAGGAGGAAAGGUUAACGGUUAAUACCCGUUAGCUGUGACGUUACUCGCAGAAGAAGCACCGGCUAACUUCGUGCCAGCAGCCGCGGUAAUACGAGGGGUGCAAGCGUUAAUCGGAAUUACUGGGCGUAAAGCGUACGCAGGCGGUUUGUUAAGCGAGAUGUGAAAGCCCCGGGCUCAACCUGGGAACUGCAUUUCGAACUGUCAAACCUAGAGUCUUGUAGAGGGGGGUAGAAUUUCAGGUGUAGCGGUGAAAUGCGUAGAGAUCUGAAGGACUACCGGUAGCCGAAGGGCGGCCACCUGGACAAAAUACUGACGCUCAGAUACGUAAAGCGUGAGGAGCAAACAGGAUUAGAUACCCUGGUAGUCAUGCGCCGUAAACGAUGUACUACUCGGAAUAUUGGUGGUCUUGAACACUUGGCUUCUCAAGCUAACGCAUUAAGUAGACCGCCUGGGGAGUACGGCCGCAAGGUUAAAACUCAAAUGAAUUGACGGGGGCCCGCACAAGCGGUGGAGCAUGUGGUUUAAUUCGAUGCAACGCGAAGAACCUUACCUACUCUUGACAUCCAGAGAAUUUACCAGAGAUGGAUUAGUGCCUUCGGGAACUCUGAGACAGGUGCUGCAUGGCUGUCGUCAGCUCGUGUUGUGAAAUGUUGGGUUAAGUCCCGCAACGAGCGCAACCCUUAUCCUUAUUUGCCAGCAAGUAAUGGUGGGAACUUUAGGGAGACUGCCGGUGAUAAACCGGAGGAAGGUGGGGACGACGUCAAGUCAUCAUGGCCCUUACGAGUAGGGCUACACACGUGCUACAAUGGCGAGUACAGAGGGUUGCGAAGCCGCGAGGUGAAGCUAAUCCCAGAAAGCUCGUCGUAGUCCGGAUUGGAGUCUGCAACUCGACUCCAUGAAGUCGGAAUCGCUAGUAAUCGUGGAUCAGAAUGCCACGGUGAAUACGUUCCCGGGCCUUGUACACACCGCCCGUCACACCAUGGGAGUGGGCUGCAC